rnacentral:rRNA from 1 species
AUGGACGAGUUGCGCCUCAAAAGUAUCAUAAGGAAAAAAUUCAAGGCUCCAAGCACUCAGAAUUCUGCAUUAUCAACAUUGUAUGCAGCCAAAACUGUCAUUUCACCUAAAAAAAGGCCCAAGAAUAGUACCGAUGAAUCUGAAGCUGAGUACCAUCUUAAUGAGGACGAUCCCAGUGAAGGAGAGUCGGUCGAUGAUAGUUUACUACAUGAGACAGAAGCAUUGCAAGAAUUUAAGUCCAGACCUGCUGCUAGCUCAAACUCCAAGGGCUUGAAGGAUUGUAAAAAAAACCAGUCAGGAAUCUAUAUAUUGUCUUGGCCUUCUUGUGAGAUUAAUACCAUCCUUGAUUUUACCUUCUCUAUAGGUCCACAAUCCUAUGAGGAUCCAAGGGAAAGGGGGCCCAAUUUCGGAAAAGGCCUAGAAAUGAUCACUCGACGUCGGCAGGGCAAACUGCCGCUUCUCAUUCUAGAAGGAAGCUUACAGCCAGAGACACCUCUUCUGGCUGCAAACUUUGCAACCAAAUGCAAUGUCACAGUCAGACACCAUAUGCCUGUGUUUAAGCACCGGAAGGAUUACAAGGACCCAAAUGGAAAUGUCAGAGAUGGGAUCUUCAGGAACUUUAACAAGUUUCAGAUGGACCUAGAGGCGGUGCCAGUUAGGAAGGCUUGCACAAAAAUGCUGAAACGCGCAACUCGCCAACAACGAUACAUGCUCAAGAAAGAGUAUUUUGAUCCUCACGCAUCCAAUUUGGUGAGGAGAACUUCUCUGGUCCCCUUGAUGACUGAUGACUAG